rnacentral:rRNA from 1 species
GGCGGCGCGCUCAACACACGCAAGUUCGAACGGCGAAGCGCUCUAUCUUUUCAGCGGGCGCGAGACGAGCGGCGAAACGGGCGAGUAACACGCGAGUAACCCGCCCCCUUCUUCCGGAUAACCGCACGAAAGCGCGGCUAAUACGGGAUAUUCUGGGUCUGUCGCAUGACGGGUCUGGGAAAGAUAUUGUUUCGGUGGGGGAUGGGCUCGCGGCCUAUCAGCUUGUUGGUGGGGUGAUGGCCUACCAAGGCGGUGACGGGUAGCCGGCCUGAGAGGGUGGACGGUCACACUGGGACUGAGACACGGCCCAGACUCCUACGGGAGGCAGCAGUGGGGAAUAUUGCACAAUGGGCGCAAGCCUGAUGCAGCGACGCCGCGUGAGGGAUGGAGGCCUUCGGGUUGUGAACCUCUUUCGCCAGUGAAGCAGGCCUGCCCCUGGUGGGUGGGUUGACGGUAGCUGGAUAAGAAGCGCCGGCUAACUACGUGCCAGCAGCCGCGGUAAUACGUAGGGCGCGAGCGUUGUCCGGAAUUAUUGGGCGUAAAGAGCUCGUAGGCGGCUGGUCGCGUCUGUCGUGAAAUCCUCUGGCUUAACUGGGGGCUUGCGGUGGGUACGGGCCGGCUUGAGUGCGGUAGGGGAGGCUGGAACUCCUGGUGUAGCGGUGGAAUGCGCAGAUAUCAGGAAGAACACCGGUGGCGAAGGCGGGUCUCUGGGCCGUUACUGACGCUGAGGAGCGAAAGCGUGGGGAGCGAACAGGAUUAGAUACCCUGGUAGUCCACGCCGUAAACGUUGGGCACUAGGUGUGGGGGGGCCUUUUCCGGGUUUUCCGCGCCGUAGCUAACGCAUUAAGUGCCCCGCCUGGGGAGUACGGCCGCAAGGCUAAAACUCAAAGGAAUUGACGGGGGCCCGCACAAGCGGCGGAGCAUGCGGAUUAAUUCGAUGCAACGCGAAGAACCUUACCAAGGCUUGACAUGUGCCGGUCGGCUCCGGAGACGGGGUUUCCUCCUUGUGGGGCCGGUUCACAGGUGAUGCAUGGUUGUCGUCAGCUCGUGUCGUGAGAUGUUGGGUUAAGUCCCGCAACGAGCGCAACCCUUGUCUCGUGUUGCCAGCACGUUGUGGUGGGGACUCGCGGGAGACUGCCGGGGUCAACUCGGAGGAAGGUGGGGAUGACGUCAAAUCAUCAUGCCCCUUAUGUCUUGGGCUUCACGCAUGCUACAAUGGCCGGUACAGAGGGCUGCGAUACUGUGAGGUGGAGCGAAUCCCUUAAAGCCGGUCUCAGUUCGGAUCGGUGUCUGCAACUCGACACCGUGAAGUUGGAGUCGCUAGUAAUCGCAGAUCAGCAACGCUGCGGUGAAUACGUUCUCGGGCCUUGCACACACCGCCCGUC